AUUGAACGCUGGCGGAAUGCUUUACACAUGCAAGUCGAACGGCAGCACGGACUUCGGUCUGGUGGCGAGUGGCGAACGGGUGAGUAAUACAUCGGAACGUGCCCGGACGUGGGGGAUAACUACUCGAAAGAGUGACUAAUACCGCAUACGAUCCAAGGAUGAAAGCGGGGGAUCGCAAGACCUCGCGCGUUUGGAGCGGCCGAUGGCAGAUUAGGUAGUUGGUGAGGUAAAGGCUUACCAAGCCUGCGAUCUGUAGCUGGUCUGAGAGGAUGAUCAGCCACACUGGGACUGAGACACGGCCCAGACUCCUACGGGAGGCAGCAGUGGGGAAUUUUGGACAAUGGGCGAAAGCCUGAUCCAGCCAUUCCGCGUGCAGGAUGAAGGCCCUCGGGUUGUAAACUGCUUUUGUACGGAACGAAAAGGCUCUUGCUAAUACCAGGAGUCCAUGACGGUACCGU
rnacentral:rRNA from 1 species